UACGUAGGGUGCGAGCGUUAAUCGGAAUUACUGGGCGUAAAGCGUGCGCAGGCGGUGAGCUGUGUCAGAUGUGAAAGCCCCGGGCUCAACCUGGGAAUUGCAUUUGAGACUGCGUAGCUAGGGUGCGGAAGAGGGAAGCGGAAUUUCCGGUGUAGCGGUGAAAUGCGUAGAUAUCGGAAGGAACACCAGUGGCGAAAGCGGCUUCCUGGUCCAGCACCGACGUUCAGGCACGAAAGCGUGGGGAGCAAACAGG
rnacentral:rRNA from 1 species